rnacentral:lncRNA from 1 species
AUCAAUAUAAUAUAUAAAUUAUGCCAUUUGAACUUCUGAAAAUACUACUUAAUUCAAACUUCUAGUUGGGAAGGGAGUGUGAUGAGAGAAGACUGUCAAAAGGAUAAAGAUUAGAGAAGAGGGAGGAACCCAGUAUAAAAAUUUUGCAAUGCAUGCUUAAUCAUCUACUAGUUUUAUAAUAAGGUUUCUAUAAUACUAGGCAUGUUUGACUAAAUAAUUUGAAUUAAAGGCUUCUACAUGCAAACUAUUGCUCAGUUUGAACUUCAGAUGAGGAACAAUAGGUGGGUGUGCGAGACCAGGUUAUAGUUCUUUUUCAAGGAAAUCCAGUCUGUUUAGCGACUUGAGAAAACAUCAGCCAACAAUGUUAUUUCCUUUUUAGAAUUCAUUUUAUCUUUUCCCAGUCAUGUGAUGCAGAGAGAAAGUGUUCAUUGAUUAGCAGCUGGUUAAUCCUGAAAGAAUCCAUAUAAAGUUAAAUGUAAUGUGUCACCUAGUCCUUGGAUGUCCAGACAUUUUGUUUU